GCCUACGGGCCGCAGCAGUGGGGAAUAUUGCACAAUGGGGGAAACCCUGAUGCAGCAACGCCGCGUGAGUGAAGAAGUAUUUCGGUAUGUAAAGCUCUAUCAGCAGGGAAGAAGAAAGACGGUACCUGACUAAGAAGCCCCGGCUAACUACGUGCCAGCAGCCGCGGUAAUACGUAGGGGGCAAGCGUUAUCCGGAUUUACUGGGUGUAAAGGGAGCGUAGACGGCUGUGCAAGUCUGAAGUGAAAGCCCGUGGCUC
rnacentral:rRNA from 1 species